AGAAAAGUAAACUAAUUUAAGUUAGUAGGUUCAUACCCUAAAUAUAGAAAACAAAUUCUCUUUUCUA
rnacentral:tRNA from 1 species